rnacentral:rRNA from 1 species
AGGUAGGGAUACCCGCUGAACUUAAGCAUAUCAAUAAGCGGAGGRAAAAGAACCAACNRGGGAUUGCCCUAGUAACGGCGAGUGAAGCGGCAAAAAGCUCAGAUAUUGGAAUCUGGCGUCAUUGUGGCGUCCGAGUUGUAGUCUGAAGGAGGGGAAAUUCAAGUGUAGCUUUGGCUUAAGUUCCUUGGAACAGGGACGUCAUAGAGGGUGAGAACCCGUUAAUGGCCUUUGUCUUAUGCUUAUGUGAAUCUCCUUCAAUGAGUCGAGUUGUUUGGGAAUGCAGCUCUAAAUGGGUGGGUAAAUUCCAUCUAAGCCUAAUACUGGCAAGACCGAUAGCGCACAAGUAGAGUGAUCGAAAGAUGAAAAGACUCUGAACAGAGAGUUAAAUAGUACGUGAAAUUGUUGAAAGGGAAGCACUUGUAACCAGACAUGCUUGCAGCUGAUCAAUUCUGAUUUUUGAGGAUGCACUCAGUUGUUAGCGAGCCAACAUCAGUCAUGGUGACAGGAAAAAGACCAAGGAAAGGUAGCUCCUUUCGGGGAGUGUUAUAGUCCUGGGUGUAAUGCUGCCUACUAUGAUUGAGGACCGCGCUUUGGCGAGGAUGUUGGCAUAAUGGUUUUAAGUGACCCGUCUUGAAACACGGACCAAGGAGUGUAACAUCUAUGCGAGUGUUUGGGUGUAGAAACCCUUUCGCGAAAUGAAAGUGAAUGGAGGUGGGAACCGCAAGGUGCACCAUCGACCGAUCCUGAUGUUUUCGGAUGGAUUUGAGUAAGAGCAUAGCUGUUGGGACCCGAAAGAUGGUGAANUAUNCCUNGAUAGGGUGAAGCCAGAGGAAACUCUGG